UACGUAGGGCGCAAGCGUUGUCCGGAAUUAUUGGGCGUAAAGAGCUCGUAGGCGGUCUGUCGCGUCGGCUGUGAAAACCCGAGGCUCAACCUCGGGCCUGCAGUCGAUACGGGCAGACUAGAGUGCUGUAGGGGAGACUGGAAUUCCUGGUGUAGCGGUGAAAUGCGUAGAUAUCUGGAGGAACACCGGUGGCGAAGGCGGCAUCCUGGACCGGCAUUGACGCUGAGGAGCGAAAGCCAGGGGAGCAAACGGG
rnacentral:rRNA from 1 species